CCAGCUGCCAAAUUGUGCAAGUUGCUCUUCCUGGGCUACCGCUUGAGUAGCCACAUUAAAAGGCCUGUGCUUGCCCCUGACUGAUGAGCACUCACAAUUUGGGAUCACCUUUCAGUCUGCAGAAGCUGAAUGGUUUUAAUCUUUCUGAAAAAGUCAGCUCAGCCAUUUUAACCUGUAUUUGUAGGCUCUGCUUUUGUGAAGAGAAGGUGUCACAGAUUCAUAUCUGUUUGCUAAGCAGGUUUGCUUGCUGCUCCUAAUCUUCCUUGUCUCUCUUGCAUUUUGAGAUAAACUAGCCAUGGGAAGUUAGACCAGACAAAAACAUUGUAUAGGGUUUCAUGUUCAGUGUCAGAGUACAGCUGUUAGUGGUGGACAUGCUCAAAGGCAUUGUGCAAAAGGACAACUCAAAGAAUUUCAUCAGCAGUGCAGACUGUUUUCUUUGGCCUUCAGAUUCCUCCCUGAUUUUAAGUACAGUUAAAAUGUGUGCUGCUUUCUCUGCUAUGAAGUCUUCUUUCUCACGUUAUUUCCUUCAACUUUGAAGACACAGACUGAAAAAGAAGGCUGAAAUAAAGAAAAAGUUACAGGAAAAUAAUCACAACCCCAUUUAUGCAAUUACUUGUGUUGCUGUCUUUAAGACCACCAGAGGUGUGGCUGGCCACAUUGGGACACCUUUGGGCUGAGCACCAAGCCAUUGUGUUCUGAAGUAAGACCUUCAACGUCUGACAUACAGCACCAGCUCUGCACAUACCACCAGCUGGAAGAAAGCCCUGCUCCUCUCUUUGGCCUUGCAAAGUAAUGCUGAGUCUGUGCAGGUAAACAGGUUGUCAUCACCAGUGCCCCUGGUCAAAGCGGUCUACACCCACCUACCUGCAGGGGGGUCACGUCAGUACUUUCUCUGUAUGCUAAGCUGCUGCUGCUGUUCCUGUGAAAGCUCUGCCCAAGCACCGCCAACGUGCUGCCCUGUCCUUAGGGAGCUCUAGGCCGCCCCAUUGGGAUAGGCACUGCCAGCUGCUGCAUGGGACUCACACAGCAGCCCACCCAGCUCUGCAUUGGCUGGGGCUGGUCUUCCUUGCACUGUGUUGGCAGGUUGAGCAGUGAGGGGCAGGUUGCCCGGACCAGCCCAAAGGUACAGUGUCAACAGGCAGUUCAUGACUGCUGAAGGCUGUGCUUUUCACUGCCCAUCUCAUCUGGGAUGAUCUUUUUGACUUCUGGGCUGCAUUUUCCUCAUCUGUUGCUGGGAACAUGCAGGCCUACACUUGCUGUGGGUUGGUGAUGCAUUUAAAAGCAAUCUGGGUCUCUGCUUCCUGUACAAUAUUUUGGCCUACUCAGGCUGACCUUAGUAGAUCUGUUCUGCAGGCAUUGUGUAUGUGUGUUGUGUUUGUGUGAUGCCCCAUGGACUGGCCAUCCCUGGUUUGGCUAUGAAGGAUGAGGAAAACUUGCAAAGGACCUAAAUUUUCUAUCAAAUUGGAAAAGGGGCAGAAGGAGUGAGAGAGAGAAGCCAGUGAAAAGAUGUUUCAGCUGUAUGCAACCCGCUGGCUCUGCUGAGUUUUAAGUAGUGAGGGGAGAAAGCCUCUGACAUUUAAAAAAACGUAGAUGGCAUCCAUGUGGCAAAAAAUAGGGCAGUUGAAUUAUCAGUAUAUGAUGAGAAUAUAAAAAAAGUAAUUAUUGUGUAGUUCUAUAAAUGAAAUUGCACUGCAGCACAAAAGAAAAAGAAAUAAAAGUCACAAAUAAAGGCCAGUGAGUUACUUCAGUGGAAAAAAAAAUCUUCUAUUAUAUGAAUAGCAAUAUCAUCUUGUUAGCUUAGCAGAGGGCUCUGGACACUUAAGGAAAUUCUAAACAUUUCCAUAUAUUCUAGUCCAGGAUGGAAUUAAACUGUUGAAAAGCUUCCCUGGAAGCCAACGUUUAUCUAAUAUGUAAGCAUAUUUAGAUUUCAUUUUGAAAUGGUUGUUAAAUGCUAUCCUUUGGCUGCACUCUAUCCUUCUUCUUCUUCUUUUUUUUUUUUUUUUUAAAUAUUGAACUCUGAGAUUUUGAUGCAUUAAAAAAUGUGCUUUCAGGACUUGAAAUGCCUGAAUGACCAGUUACAGCAUGUACUAACCCUGAGAGAUAUCCAUUGAGUCUGCUCUCCUCCUUCAAUUUGCUGGCUGUUUUUCCAGUCAUGCCUUGCAUUAAUGUUCUACACUUAGCUAAACUGUGUGUUAUAUUUUAGAUCUAUUUUUGUUUUGUCUAAAAAAUUUCCAAAUUGACAUUAAGUAUUCAAGAUGUAAUCUCUGUAGCAGGAAACUAGUUAUCAGAUUCAUACAAAACAACUGGGCAAUAGAAAUAACUCUGAGCAGAAUGCAUUUUUUCCUAGAAUUAAUUUAGAGGGAAUGUAAUGGCUGUGAAAGGUGCUGGAUUGCAACAUCAGAGAACCGAAGCUACUAUUUAACCACAGAACGGUUACAGGAUGGGAGAUGGCUUUACAAGAUUCGCAAUGAGGUUUGACAAAAUAAUUGUCUCAGGUUUGGUGCCUUUCAUCUCACUGGAACAGGCAGUCUUUCAUGUGGCACUCAUAGUCACUCUCGGGUUGCUGGUUUCUGCUGGGGUGGUGGAGGAACCCUUCUGUAAAAACAGCGUGAUUUUGCUGUGGGGAUUGCUGGCUAACAUUUGCAGUGUGGGUGGACACUGUGACCUGCACCCCAGUGCACAUUCUGCUACAACCUUUGUCAUGUCCCCAGGUACCACAGGCAUAGCAGUGGGCCCAAGCUUUGCAUCUUUUGCUCUCUGAGGCCACCUGUUUCUUGGAGGAAGGAGUGGAGAGUGUACAUGAGGUGCUACUGUUGAAGCUACACCAAGAUCAGGGACCAUAUUUUUUUUGACAGAUAGUUAUCUCUGAAGGCCAUGUAUGAUCCAAAUGGUUUGAGCCUCAGUUCUUGGUAGUCAGAUAGUCAGACAAGUAUUUAUCAAAAAGUGGGCAAUAUGUUGUAUUCUAACUGGUAGCCUUGCCAGCAGCAAGGUUUUGAUACACGUUAAGCUUCAAUUUAUAUUUGCCACUUGGUUCAGUUGAUAUUUUUGGUGUUGAUGUUUUUUUACUGACUUCAUGAGGAGUGGGAGAGCCCUCAGAAUAAUUUUUACUAACUUCUCUCAAAGGGAGAGACUUUCAUGUCGCAGUGUGCCUCCCCAUGAGCUCACCAAAAAAGCAAAACCAUCCUUGGGGUGCUUGAUGUAUGCAAAAAACAGGGUGGGGGGUGGCAGGGUAUGCUAUCCAGUAGGCCCUCUGCCAUGGGGAGGCCGGCAGAAGCACAGUUGACAGGCCGGUUACCUCAAUGCAAAGCUGACUCGUGCACUAACCCACUAGGAACCAGUUAAAAGCUUUCCUCCAAAGCUACAUUCUUCUGCUUGUUGCGGUAUGUUGGAUAGGAGGCUGCAUUCCCUUACACUGGAAUUUCCUGUAUUAGCACUGCACAGGAGUGGAUUUAUUUUGUAGUCCUUGAGAUUUGAGUUUCAUGGAUUUUACAGCCUAUAUGUGCCACAAAACAAAGAUUUGGUUUCUACGGAGGCUUUGCAGAAAGGAUUACCAUCUGCUGACUUUUUGGUCUACCAAAGACUGAUGCUCUUCAAGACUACAGGUGACCCUGACCAGGAUUAUCUUACUGAAGAACUCAAAUUUAAAUAUCAUAAGAAAGGACAAAUUUGGAGUGAAAACUCAAACAGUGCUCGAGUUACAAGUGAGCAAAAUGCACUGUAUUUUGAGACUCUGUCCCUCUGCUUUAUAUCAUGUGCAAAAUACUGUGUCUAAACAGGUGGACUGCAUACAGGUAAGA